CAAAUCUGAGAGCACAGAACAAGUGCCACUGUUCCCUCACUAACCCCUACCCCACAAACAUCGUCACAACCCAGUGAAUGGGUUGCCCCGUCCUGGUGAACACCUAAGGCUCUGGCCCCAUACAUAACAGGUGCAACCAGACC